AUCCAGCUGACCAGCCCCAAAUAGGAGGAAGCGCGCGUCCUGGAU
rnacentral:hammerhead_ribozyme from 1 species